AUUGAACGCUAGCGGGAUGCCUUACACAUGCAAGUCGAACGGAGUGGCGAACGGGUGAGUAAUGUAUCGGAACGAGCCCAGUAGCGGGGGAUAACUACGCGAAAGCGUAGCUAAUACCGCAUACUAUUGGAGCGGCCGAUAUCGGAUUAGCUAGCUGGGGGGGAAACGGCUCACCAAGGCGACGAUCCGUAGCUGGUUUGAGAGGACGACCAGCCACACUGGGACUGAGACACGGCCCAGUCUCCUACGGUAGGCAGCAGUGGGGAAUAUUGGACAAUGGGGGAAACCCUGAUCCAGCCAUCCCGCGUGUGCGAUGAAGGCCUUCGGGUUGUAAAGCACUUUUGGCAGGGAAGCGGUACCUGCAGAAGAAGCACCGGCUAACUACGUGCCAGCAGCCGCGGUAAUUC
rnacentral:rRNA from 1 species